ACCACGGCCGUGAAGAGCGCUCCCUUGCUGUUGACGAACUGGCCGGGCAGCGCCGUCCACUGGCCCGUGGCCAGGUUGAGACAGUCGAUGGCGCAGUGCAGGAAGUCGUCGGAAG
ensembl:miRNA